GACGAACGCUGGCGGCGUGCUUAACACAUGCAAGUCGAACGAAGUGGCGAACGGGUGAGUAAUACGUGAGUAACCUGCCCUCCUUUUUGGGAUAAGCCUUGGAAACGGGGUCUAAUACCGAAUAAAGGGGGAUGGGCUCGCGGCCUAUCGGCUUGUUGGUGGGGUGAUGGCCUACCAAGGCGGUGCCGGGUAGCCGGCCUGAGCGGGUGAACGGCGACAUUGGGACUGAGCUACGGCCCAGACGCGUACGGGAGGGAGAAGUGGUGGCUAUUGCAGAAAGUGCGAACGCGUGAUGCAGCGACGCCGCGUGGGGGAUGAAGGUUGUAGGGUUGUAAUCCUCUUGCACUAGCGAGCCGGUAGGUGGAGAAGAAGAGCCGGCUAACUACGUGCCAGCAGCCGCGGUAAUAC
rnacentral:rRNA from 1 species